GACAAGAGCCCCAUUUGCCUGUUGACUUUCUGCUGGGACUGGAUAGUCAUGUCCAGAGUGAUGCAGAGUGGGUUGUGGACCACAAAAAUAAUUUGGAAAGAAUAUUUACCAAGGCUCGAGGACGUCUUCAGUAUGCUACAGAAUACCGAGCUCGACUAAAUGAUCUUCAGGUGCGACAUGAAAAGUUAAGUGAGGGGCAGGUGGUGUAUCGGAGAGCACAUAACUUCAAGGGCAGAAAUAAGAUCCAAGAUGCAUGGGAUUCAACCCCUUAUAAAGUGAUUCGAUGUCUAGAUGGACAUGGAGCUGUGUAUGCUGUCGCACCGGCAGAUGGAGUUGAUGGGAUCAGAAACAUUCAUCGUUCUGAAUUGCGUCCAGCCUAUGUCUCUCCAGAUGACCCUGGCCUCCCUAAUCUAGUUGACCAUCAGGACACUGCUAGAGAAGCAGAUGAAGACAUGGUAAUGAUUUCAUUGAUGCCUGGGAGUGUAUCUACUCAAGAUAAAGCUCAACUUCUGUCCAGACCUCAAUCUUUGCAGGAAGAUAUCAAUUCGUCCUUGACUUCAGUAGGUGAUGUUGAAGCCCAUCUUCCUUCACAACAUGAAGCGGUAGUAAGGCGUACAAGAAGGGUAACAGCUGGAUGCCAUUCAAACCCAUAUCAUCUCCCUAGGCCUGUAUGCAUUAGUGAAACUCAGUUAAAUGGUCCGGUUACUCCUCUUAUGAUGGGGCUGUCCAAUAAUAACCCCACCGUAGUGUUUCGCCCAUGGUUGUAGGGGGGCUAAUGUAAUCGACGGGACGGCGAUUUAAAUUGAAGGGGGUAGAUUGUAAUGGGAUAUGGGUUGGGCACUACAAGUCCCAGCAGCCCCAGGGCUCUUAAAAGGAAGUAGUAAGGUUGUGUUUGUUCUUUUCACUUCCGUUUUUUUGAUUUUGGGGAAAGGUGGCGUGGAAUGUAGAGUGGCAUGUAGGUAAGGAGAUUUGAGUGAUGCAUUCUUACUACUUUGUUAGUUUUAUCGAUUGCAUAAUGAAUUGAUGUUGUGGUAGAUGUUACUUUGGGGAUAUGAGCGCAGAUAAUCAUUGCCGCCAAAUACCGCGGGAGCGUUGCUGAGAACUGAGAAUAUGCUGUACCGACUAAUAUGGUGUGACUGGAUUAUUGCCUGACUGUGGCCUGACCAUCUUGUCGAAAUAGUGGAUGUGAAAGGUUUGCAGUGUGAUUGCUGUGAGCUUGGCUGCUGUGAGAACACUUUGGCUUCUAGGCCCUUCUUUCACUUUCUUAGGCAACCUGUGGCCACCUAGGGCCAGUUUUCUUUUAUUUCUUUUUCUUUAUUUUGUAGGCA